rnacentral:rRNA from 1 species
ACUCCUACGGGAGGCAGCAGGUGGGGAAGUAAUUGCACAAUGGCGGCAAGCCUGAUGCAGCCAUGCCGCGUGUGUGAAGAAGGCCUUCGGGUUGUAAAGCACUUUCAGUCGUGAGGAAGGUAGUGUAGUUAAUAGCUGCAUUAUUUGACGUUAGCGACAGAAGAAGCACCGGCUAACUCCGUGCCAGCAGCCGCGGUAAUACGGAGGGUGCGAGCGUUAAUCGGAAUUACUGGGCGUAAAGCGCAUGCAGGUGGUUUGUUAAGUCAGAUGUGAAAGCCCGGGGCUCAACCUCGGAAUUGCAUUUGAAACUGGCAGACUAGAGUACUGUAGAGGGGGGUAGAAUUUCAGGUGUAGCGGUGAAAUGCGUAGAGAUCUGAAGGAAUACCGGUGGCGAAGGCGGCCCCUGGACAGAUACUGACACUCAGAUGCG